GGAAGGCAGGUCUGCUUGUCCUCUUGGCUCUUUUCCAUCAUCCAGCUAUGCCUCUUGAGCUUAAAGGUUCAUAUUCAUUUCUUCCAUAUUGGUAUCUGCAUGUCCAUGCACUGAGCGACCAUGGAUAUAAUGACCAAAACAGUUGUGUGACAAGACAAACACUGAAAUCUCAAAGAUGGGAAAAGAGAGAACACUAAUCAUCAAUUAUCAUUUUAUAUUUGAUCUUCUGAAUUCAUAGUGAAGAUCAAUCAAACUAGCCAGCCCUGCUACAAAUACAAAGUAGGUCCUACAUGGGUGUUUCACAGAAGAGGAAUGACCAUGGCUUGAAAGACGGAUAGAAGAGGUAAAUUGGUAUUUUUAAGAAGUUAUGGACAAAUGAGGUAAUCCAAUCUGUUCUGACUGGAACUCUCUUUGGUUAAAAGGCAAUUCCUGCAGUACAAAGCUUCAAAACCCAUAUGUCAAGAAGAGAAAGUUCAGAUGUGAGUAAGAGAAAAUGCAUUCCAAAGGUGGUAACUGUUAAGUUCAGCAGUUGAGGGACAAGCACAAGACAGGAGUAGACACUGGACAUAUAUGUAUUACAUAAAAUCAAGACAACUUGCCAGUCAGAAGGACUAAACCACAAACCAAUAAACAGUAUUGCAGUAAAAGGUCCUACACCUAAUUUCUGUUAUAACUUGUUAUUUUUGAAUUGUGUAUCAGCACAUGUAACCAAUUUAAAAUAAAAAAAAGAAAAACAACUA